rnacentral:lncRNA from 1 species
UACUUUAGAGCUCUCCUGUGCUUACUUGGGCCUUGCUCUUUCCCUGAACAGGGCACCAGCUUCCUAAACCAGAGGUGAUCCUGCAGUUGGAGAAAGGGGAAGAUCCCUGGCUGGUGGAGAGGGCAGUUCAAGAGUUGUGUCCAGAUUUGGAUACUAAUGUUGAAAUGAAAUCACCUGUUUCCAGUAAGAACAUUUCUCAAGAUAAAAAACCCUGUGGCAUUAAAGUAGAAGGAAUGGCAAGGAAGGAUCUCUGGUAUCUGUCAUUGGAAGACAUGUGGAAAUGUGAAGACCCAUUGGCUGGUGUUCGUGGGCAUCUGCUUGGCUUCUGUCUACCUGAAGUGCAGACAGCCUCCCAGCAAGCUAGAGAUGAGGGGAGCACGUACCUUGGAUCUUCGAGGUUCCUCCUCUCCAGGAAGGAGACCACUCAUGUGAUGGGAUCAGAGAGCAUCAAGGUCAGGAGCCUGUUCUCCAAGGGACCCCCGACUAGAGGCCUCUCCUGGGAGCAGCUGGGCAGAGGCAGAAGAGCCCCAGGACAGAGCAGGUCCUAGAGUGGCUGUUUAUUUCCCAGGAACAGCUAGAAACCACCAAGUCCUGGACAAAAUCUGGGAGAUUGGUGAUCAUACAGAGAGGCAACAGGAGAACCAAGGCAAGGUGGGAAGUGUGGCAAAAAGCUUUGAAUGUACUUCAUUUGGAGAAUUAUGUCUUCUCAGUACAAGUUAUACUUCAAGACAAUGUUCAUAACUGUGGCACACAUGGAAAGAUGUUGAACUACGAUAUACUAAUUAUGAACUAUGAUACUAAUUAUGCUGGAAAGAAUCCUAAUGGGUUUCACAUACAGGGGGAAUUAUUAUUUUAUUCUAAGCAUGAGCAAACUGUUACUGGAAUUACAUAAUAUGAAAAUAACAAAUCUGGGAAAACUGAACAAGAAGUCACCACUUAUUUGCCAGCAGGUGCAUCAUGGGGAGAAAGCCUAUAGCAGCAGGUCAUGCCUUGUAGUGCAUCAGCAAACUCCUGUGGGAGGGAAAAUCUGUGAA